rnacentral:rRNA from 1 species
AAGAGAAUGAUUAAACAAUUAAAAGCUUUCUUUAAUUGAAUAAUUGAAUUUAAUUUUUUAGUGCAAAAGCAAAAAUAAAAAUUAGGGACAAGAAGACCCUAUGAAUUUUUUAUUAAAUUUUAUAAAACUUUAUAUAAAAUUUAAUUUAAUUGGGGUGAUGGAAAAAGAAUAAAUAUCUUUUUUUUAAAAAAAAAAUUGGUUCCGUUUUUAGCGAUUAAAUGAAAAAAAUACUCUAGGGAUAACAGCGUAAUAAUUUUGGAUAGUUCAUAUAGAUAAAAUAGUUUGCGACCUCGAUGUUGGAUUAGGAUUCUUUUUUGGUGAAGAAGUUAAAAAAAGAAGUUUGUUCAACUUAUAAUUUCCU